UGUAACUUUUUUCACAGGUUGAACAUGUGAAAGGCUUCUCAUUUGUUGAGUCCUCAUGUGACGAGCUAAACUGCUUCUGGUAUUGUAACUCUUUCCACAGGUCCCACAUAAGAAAGGC